rnacentral:rRNA from 1 species
GGCCACGAUGUCUAAAGGGUCUGAAAGGAUGAUCCCCCACACUGGUACUGAGACACGGACCAGACUCCUACGGGAGGCAGCAGUGAGGAAUAUUGCGCAAUGGAGGCAACUCUGACGCAGCCAUGCCGCGUGAAGGAAGACGGCCCUACGGGUUGUAAACUUCUUUUCUUAGCUAAGAAUUAUCGAUACGCGUAUUGGUUUGACUAGCUUUGGAAUAAGCAUCGGCUAACUCCGUGCCAGCAGCCGCGGUAAUACGGAGGAUGCAAGCGUUAUCCGGAUUCACUAGGUUUAAAGGGUGCGUAGGCGGAGUAAUAAGUCAGUGGUGAAAUCUUGCGGCUCAACCGUGAAAUUGCCAUUGAUACUGUUAUUCUUGAGUUCGGUUGAGGUAGGCGGAAUGAGUAAUGUAGCGGUGAAAUGCUUAGAUAUUACUCAGAACACCGAUUGCGAAGGCAGCUUACUAAACCGAAACUGACGCUGAGUCACGAAAGCGUGGGGAGCGAACAGGAUUAGAUACCCUGGUAGUCCACGCCGUAAACGUUGAUUACUCGUUGUUGGCAAUACAUCGUCAGCGACUGAGCGAAAGCAUUAAGUAAUCCACCUGGGGAGUACGUCAGCAAUGAUGAAACUCAAAGGAAUUGACGGGGGCCCGCACAAGCGGAGGAACAUGUGGUUUAAUUCGAUGAUACGCGAGGAACCUUACCUGGGCUUAAAUGUAUUGUGCAUAGAGUAGAAAUACUCUUUUCCUUCGGGACUCUUUACAAGGUGCUGCAUGGUUGUCGUCAGCUCGUGCCGUGAGGUGUCGGGUUAAGUCCCAUAACGAGCGCAACCCUCAUUGUCAGUUGCCAGCACAUCAUGGUGGGGACUCUGAUAAAACUGCCGGUGCAAACCGAGAGGAAGGUGAGGAUGACGUCAAAUCAGCACGGCCCUUAUGUCCAGGGCUACACACGUGUUACAAUGGUCAGUACAGUGGGCAGCUACCACGCGAGUGNAUGCUAAUCUCCAAAACUGAUCUUAGUUCGGAUCGGAGUCUGCAACUCGACUCCGUGAAGC